UACGGGGGGGUGCGAGCGUUGUCCGGAAUCACUGGGCGUAAAGGGUGCGUAGGUGGCCUGGCAAGUUAUUAGUGGUAAAUCGAGGCUCAACCUCGUGGAAACUAGUAAUACUGUUCGGCUUGAGUGCAGGAGAGGUUAACGGAACUCUAUGUGGAGGGGUAAAAUCCAUAGAUAUAUGGAUGAACAUCAAUAACGGCGAAGGCAGUUAACUAUUCUGUUUACUGACACUGAGGCACGAAAAGCGUGGGGAGCAAAACGG
rnacentral:rRNA from 1 species